rnacentral:rRNA from 1 species
AAUCAACGCUGGCGGCGUGCCUAACACAUGCAAGUCGAACGCGAAAACCCCGCAAGGGUUAGUAGAGUGGCAAACGGGUGAGUAACACGUGGGUGACCUGCCUUAGAGUGGGGGAGUAACGUCCCGAAAGGGACGCUAAUACCGCAUAACAUCCUGCCUUUGAAGAGGUGGUGAUCAAAGCUGGGGACCGCAAGGCCUAGCGCUCAAAGAGGGGCCCGCGCCUGAUUAGCUAGUUGGNGGGGUAAGUGGCUCACCAAGGCAACGAUCAGUAUCCGGCCUGAGAGGGCGGACGGACACACUGGGACUGAGACACGGCCCAGACUCCUACGGGAGGCAGCAGUGGGGAAUUGUUCGCAAUGCACGAAAGUGUGACGGAGCGACGCCGCGUGUAGGAUGAAGUCC